GACGAACGCUGGCGGCGUGCUUAACACAUGCAAGUCGAACGGAAAGGCCCUGCUUUUGUGGGGUGCUCGAGUGGCGAACGGGUGAGUAACACGUGAGUAACCUGCCCUUGACUUUGGGAUAACUUCAGGAAACUGGGGCUAAUACCGGAUAGGAGCUCCUGCUGCAUGGUGGGGGUUGGAAAGUUUCGGCGGUUGGGGAUGGACUCGCGGCUUAUCAGCUUGUUGGUGGGGUAGUGGCUUACCAAGGCUUUGACGGGUAGCCGGCCUGAGAGGGUGACCGGCACCAUGGGGCCUGGGAAGCGGCCCAGACUCCUACGGGAGGAAGCGGUGGGGAAUAUUGCAAGAAGGGCGGAGGCCUGAUGCAGCAACGCCGGGUGCGGGAUGACGGCCUUCGGGUUGUAAACCGCUUUCGCCUGUGACGAAGCGUGAGUGACGGUAAUGGGUAAAGAGGCACCGGCUAACUACGU
rnacentral:rRNA from 1 species